rnacentral:lncRNA from 1 species
AGAAAUAAACAACUGUAAGUGGCAGAUGACAUUAAAGCCUGCACCACUUUAGUGUUUGGCACAUGUAGAAAAGAAGGGAGGAGCCUGCGCACUGGGUUCUAAGAACUGUUUUCUGCGCUCCUCAGCACGCUGGCAUUGGUCUGAGACUGCACCAGACUUUGUAAAAUGAUCUGCCUCUUCACUCCUUAUAGAAAGUGGGGUCUUAUUCUUCACAUCAAAUAUAGCACUUCUUUUUAAGUUUAUGGAAGUACACUGUCACUGUCUUUAGACACAUCAGAAGAGGGUAUCGGAUCCUAUUACAGAUGGUUGUGAGCCACUAUGUGGUUGCUGGGAACUGAACUCAGGACCUCUAGAAGAGCAGUCAGUGCUCUUAACCGCUGAGCCAUCUCUCCAGCCCACAUGUAGACUUUCUACUUAGGGUUUUUUGUUAUGGCACAUUUGAUUACUUUGUAGUCACAAAACACUUUUUUUCCUCUCUCUCUCUUUUUUUUUCCAGCAUGCCCCUAAAAAUAUAUAAAAUUUGCAAUUUUUAUGUAUAGUGCCUUAUUUAAUAUGCAUUUUAAUGAGGUAACAGUGGCUGCUUGAAAUUAUUUAUUUGUAAGUCAAUUUAUAAUGGAAUUUUAAAAAAUACUAGGAGAUUAGCUAAAUAAAAUAUGCUGCUCUCACAGGGUAAGACAUUUUAUAGCCAUCAGCAAUAAAUACUAAGACCUAAGAGAAUAGACAUAGAGAAAUAAUCAUUGCACACUGAGAAGUGAAGCUGGUCAAUGGCAGGAUGGCGCUGCUUUCCUGGAAAAAUAUUAACUAGCCUCCCAGGACCAUACACAACUGGUGGGUUUACUCGCUGAUCUAUACCUGUCUAUACUUCUGAACUCUUAUCAAAUGAGUAUUUGUUAGUUCAGUAACAAAAAGUGCAUGACAAAAUAAAAUACCAUAAAUGAAAGCAAAUGCCCUGCUUAUGUGACAAUAGAAAUUCUAUCAAUGUAAAUGAUGCAUUGUUUGGAUUGAAGAAGUCUUUAUGAAUAGCUAGGAAGUGUUGGCCUCUUUUCUAUGGGUAUUUUCACUAAUGCUUAUAGGGGCUUACUCACCUGUCACAAACACAGUCAGAGUAAAGAAAGCAGUGUGGCACCAUUUAGGAACUAAGUGGAAAUAGGAGAGGUGACUCGGCUGAGAGAGAGUGCUUGCUGUUCUUCGGGAAGAUCCACAUUUGGUUUCCAGAACUAUCAUAGUGGGCUCACCAUGCUUGUAGUAGCGCCAGCUCCAAGAUGUAUGGCGCCCUCUUCUGGCCUCUUCACAAACCUCAACACUUGGGACACACACAUAAAGGUAAGAAAUAGUAAAAUAAAUCUUUAUAAAUCUUAUGUUUAAAAGUGAAGUGAGCUGGGCAAGGUGGUGUAUGCCUUUAAUACCAACACUGGGGAGUCAGAGGCAGGCAGAUCUCUGAGAGCUCCAGGCCAGUGUGGUCUACCAAGUGAGUUCCACGACAACCAGAAGUGUAUAUAUAUAUAGACGUUGUCUCAGACAAACAAGCAAACAAAACUAAACAAGUGGGAAAAAAGUCAUGUGAACAGAUAACUGAUAAAAGAAGAAUGGUGGGGUUUCCAUGUCAGGAGAGCUCCUGAACACGCCACAGCCUGGCUGUAGUGAAGGCAAGCUUCCCCAGACAUUAUGAUUCUAGCUGAAUGGAUGUUGCACUAUAAAAAUAUAUACAACUGUUGAGCAAAUGAGAAAUAUGAGAAUGGAAAUAUAGCAGCAAUUGCCCACCUCUACUGCACGCACAGUUACUAUCUUGGGAUAUGCAAGUAAUUGGAUUACUGAUGCCGUCUGCUCUGUUCCCUGUAAGAGGAUUACUCAUAGGAUCUGAAGUUUCCUCCCAAAGGUACAGUCUAAUUCCUUGACCCACUCUGGUGAGUGGAACUCUACAGGAACAUUUUAUACCACAGCUGGGCAGACAUACCGAGAGGCACUAACCAGUUCCACUCUCUCUGGCUUGUCCAAGCUAGGUCUGAAAUGAGAAGCCGGAGAUGGGCAGCCUCCACCCCUGCAGUGUAGAUGCAAGAUACAUUGUUUGCCUGUUUGCUUCCACAAAGAAGCUGACUAACACACCACUGCCUGUUCACCUUUUGUUUUAUUUUGUUUUCAGACAAGAGUUUCUUUGGCUAGCCUUGGUUGUCCUGGAACUAGCGCUGUGGAUCAGGCUGGCCUGGAACUCACAGAGAUCCGCCUGUCUCUGCCUCUGCCUCUCUAGUGCUGGGAUUUAAGGUGAAAGUCCCCACUGCCACGCCCACUCCUUCUCAAAUAUCCGGAAGCAGGUCUUGCAGCUGAGCCAUCUAAAUGACUCUCCAGGCUGACCUGUGCUCUUGUUUCAGUUCUUAUGGCACACUGACAAUGUCCACAGCACACCAAACAUUAGGACUAUUAGCCACUGCCC